rnacentral:rRNA from 1 species
AGGGUUUGAUCCUGGCUCAGAACGAACGCUGGCGGCGUGGCUAAAGCAUGCAAGUCGCACGAUUAAGACCCCCUUCGGGGGGUGUAUAAAGUGGCGAAAGGGCGAGUAAUGCAUGGGUAACGUACCCCUCGCACAGGGAUAGCUGCGGGAAACUGCAGGUAAUACCUGAUGAGACCACAGUGUCAUAUGGCACAGCGGUCAAAGGGUGGGGAUCCUUCGGGACCUACUGGCGAGUGAGCGGCCCAUGUCCUAUCAGCUUGUUGGUGAGGUAACGGCUCACCAAGGCAUCGACGGGUACCGGGACUGAGAGGUUGACCCGGCGCAUUGGGACUGAGACACUGCCCAGACUCCUACGGGAGGCUGCAGCACCGAAUAUUCCGCAAUGGGCGCAAGCCUGACGGAGCGACGCCGCGUGUGGGAUGAAGCCCUUCGGGGUGUAAACCACUGUCAGGGGUUAGCAAGCAAUGGAGGCCAAUACCCUCCGGCGUUGAGCAGCCCCAGAGGAAGCCACGGCUAACUUCGUGCCAGCAGCCGCGGUAAGACGAAGGUGGCAAGCGUUGUUUGGAAUCACUGGGCUUAAAGAGCACGUAGGCGGUCCGUCAAGCAUCUUGUGAAAUCCCUCGGCUCAACCGAGGAAUGGCUGGGUGAACUGGCGGACUUGAGGCAGGUAGGGGCACGUGGAACUCUUGGUGGAGCGGUGGAAUGCGUAGAUAUCAAGAGGAACGCCGGUGGCGAAAGCGGCGUGCUGGGCCUGUCCUGACGCUGAGGUGCGAAAGCCAGGGGAGCGAACGGGAUUAGAUACCCCGGUAGUCCUGGCCCUAAACGAUGUCCACUAGGUCGGAGGCUCUCUGACGAUUUUCCGGCCGAAACAAAAGCGUUAAGUGGACCGCCUGGGAGUACGGUCGCAAGGCUAAAACUCAAAGGAAUUGACGGGGGCUCACACAAGCGGUGGAGCAUGUUGCUUAAUUCGAUCAACGCGAAGAACCUUAUCCUGGGCUUGACAUACUUGGAUACCCAUCUGGAAACAGAGUAGGUUGCUCUUCGGAGUGAAACUUGUACAGGUGCUGCAUGGCUGUCGUCAGCUCGUGUCGUGAGAUGUUGGGUUAAGUCCCGUAACGAGCGAAACCCUUGUCGCUAGUUGCCAGCGCGUAAUGGCGGGGACUCUAGCGAGACUGCCGGUGUUAAACCGGAGGAAGGUGGGGAUGACGUCAAGUCCUCAUGCCCUUUAUGCCCAGGGCUGCAAACGUGCUACAAUGGUCGAAACAAACCGAAGCGAAGCCGCGAGGUGGAGCAAAUCGGACAAAGUCGGCCUCAGUUCGGAUUGGAGUCUGCAACUCGACUCCAUGAAGUCGGAAUCGCUAGUAAUCGUGUAUCAGCGCGACACGGUGAAUGUGUUCCUGAGCCUUGUACACACCGCCCGUCAAGUCAUGGAAGCUGGUAGCGCCCGAAGUCGGCAUAUGUCAGUGCUGCUGAAGGUGAGAUCGGUGACUGGGACUAAGUCGAAACAAGGUA